rnacentral:rRNA from 1 species
UUAAGCUAUAAAGAGCGCAGGGUGGAUGCCUUGGCACUAAGAGCCGAUGAAAGACGUGAUAAGCUGCGAAAAGCUUCGGGGAGGAGCAAAUAUCCUUUGAUCCGGAGAUAUCUGAAUGGGGAAACCCGGCUGAGCAAACCUCAGUCACUGCAUGGUGAAUCCAUAGCCAUGCAGGGGGAACCCGGUGAACUGAAACAUCUAAGUAGCCGGAGGAAGAGAAAGAAACAUCGAUUCCCAAAGUAGCGGCGAGCGAAAUGGGAAGAGCCCAAACCAGCGUGCGUGCAUGCUGGGGUUAAGGACUGCAUACGUGAACCGAUUUGUUAGUGGAACUGUCUGGGAAGUCAGGCCGGAGAGGGUGAAAGCCCCGUACACGAAAACAAUAGGAAGCAGCAGGAUCCAGAGUACCACGAGACACGAGAAACCUUGUGGGAAGUCGGAGGGACCACCCUCCAAGGCUAAAUACUCCUUAGUGACCGAUAGCGCAUAGUACUGUGAAGGAAAGGUGAAAAGGACCCCGGGAGGGGAGUGAAAAAGAACCUGAAACCCUGUGUUUACAAGCUGUGGAAGCACGUUAAGGUGCAACCGCGUACUUUUUGUAGAACGGUCCGGCGAGUUGCCGGUACUGGCAAGGUUAAGAGCUUAAGGCUCGGAGCCGAAGGGAAACCAAGUCUCAAAUGGGCGUCAAGUCAGUACAGGCAGACCCGAAACCGGGUGACCUAUCCAUGUCCAGGUUGAAGCGGAAGUAAAAUUCCGUGGAGGACCGGAUCCACAUCCGUUGAAAAGGGUGGGAAUGAGGUGUGGAUAGGGGAGAAAUUCCAAUCGAACCCGGAGAUAGCUGGUUCUCCUCGAAAUAGCUUUAGGGCUAGCCUCAUAUUAGUUUAGCGGAGGUAGAGCACUGAAUUCCUAAGGGGGCGUCAAAGCUUACCAAGGGAUAUCAAACUCCGAAUGCCGCGUAAAUGAUGUAUGGGAGUCAGACUGCACGAGAUAAGUUGGGCAGUCAAAAGGGAAAGAGCCCAGACCUACAGCUAAGGUCCCAAAGUGUGUGUUAAGUGGAAAAGGAUGUGGGAUUUCAAAGACAACUAGGAUGUUGGCUCAGAAGCAGCCACACAUUCAAAGAGUGCGUAAUAGCUCACUAGUCGAGAGGUCCUGCGCCGAAAAUGUCCGGGGCUGAAACACAACACCGAAGCUUAGGAAUGUCAUAUGACAUUGGUAGAGGAGCAUUCUUAAAGGAGCGAAGCAGUACCGAUAAGGAGCUGUGGACUUUUAAGAAGAGAGAAUGCCGGAAUGAGUAGCGAGAUGGAGGUGGGAAUCCUCCAGGCCGAAUAUCCAAGGUUUCCAGAGUAAAGCUGAUCUGCUCUGGGUAAGUCGGGGCCUAAGGCGAGGCUGAGAGGCGUAGUCGAUGGACAACAGGUUGAAAUUCCUGUACCAUGUAUCAUCAGAACUGUGGGGACACAGAAGGACAACACAUCCCGGGAAUGGGAAUACCGGGGCAAGCGGGGUAGGAGUACGGUUGGCAAAUCCGCCGUGCAAUCCGAAUACGUGACGCGGAGCGAACGAAAGUAGCGAAGUGUGUGAUUCCGGCUGUCAAGAAAAGCCGCUAUAGUGUGAUACAUGCCCGUACCGUAAACCGACACAGGUAGAUGAGGAGAGAAUCCUAAGGCCGGCGGGAGAAGCAUUGUUAAGGAACUCGGCAAAAUGACCCCGUAACUUCGGGAGAAGGGGUGCCACAGAGAUGUGGCCGCAGAGAAUAGGCUCAAGCAACUGUUUAGCAAAAACACAGGUCUAUGCAAAACCGUAAGGUGAGGUAUAUGGGCUGACGCCUGCCCGGUGCUGGAAGGUUAAGAGGAGAGGUUAGAGAAAUCGAAGCUUUGAAUUUAAGCCCCAGUAAACGGCGGCCGUAACUAUAACGGUCCUAAGGUAGCGAAAUUCCUUGUCGGGU